GACGAGGGCGCGAGCGUGUCCGGAUUUAUUGGGCGUAAAGAGCUCGUAGGCGGCUUGUCGCGUCGAAUGUGAAAUCUCAGGGCUCAACUCUGACAUUGCAUUCGAUACGGGCAGGCUCGAGUUCGGUAGGGGAGACUGGAAUUCCUGGUGUAGCGGUGAAAUGCGCAGAUAUCAGGAGGAACACCGGUGGCGAAGGCGGGUCUCUGGGCCGAUACUGACGCUGAGGAGCGAAAGCGUGGGGAGCGAACAGG
rnacentral:rRNA from 1 species